AUUCAUUUCUCUGAAUACUAUCUCCAUAAACAUGAUCUGUAUUCUGUAUUUUUAUCUGCUGAGCCACUGUGAGUUAGGGCAAGAAAAACAGUGCUGAAGAUGGGCUUUUCAACCCACCUUACUAAGCUGUCCUUCUGCCAUCCACUUCUUUUGUCUCUUAUGUUCAAAUGUCAGGUGUUAGGGGCAAAUAUAAGGACCCGGCCAAAUGACUGCUGCAGGCAUCACUUUGCUAGUGAGUGUUUUUGUCUGUUUUCCACCGUUGGGUUGAGUAACCCGUUGAGCAUGCCAGUGACACUCAAACCCUUUGGGACACUCACUCUUUAGGGCUCCCAUUGCAGUGAGCCAUGUCCUUCCUGUGGUGAGGACACAGUGAGGUAGGAGCGGGGCACAGAUGGUGGCCAGCACUCUUUGCAUCCCCUUCCUGGUCAAAGCUGAGCAAGUGCUGGAUGAGAAGGAAGUACAAAGCCCAAUGUUGUGGUCUGGUGUAGCAAGUGGUUGCUCCGGAGAGGUGGGGCGUUAGUGCCUUUGCUGUUGGCCCAGCACACACACCUGCCAGGGGCUGCAGCUGUCACCUGCUGACUGCCAGGGCCCCCAUGUCUUGUCUGGGCUGGAGGCAGAAAGGUAGGAGGGCCAGACAUGGGAUGGCUCACUGUGCAUCUGUCUCCUAGGAGCACAGCUGGGGACAUAGGUGGGCCCUGAACCUGGUCAACCAUGGGUGUCACUUCCAUGUCACGCUGGUGUCACUGCUUCUCUCAUUGUGCUGCUUGACAGAGCGAGGUGAUGGCUGAGCCCUGCUUCCAGCUGCCCAGAGCCUCAUGCCCAUUGUGCAGCCUGGCAGUGCCACCCUGUCCCCAUCCUGUCCUGGGAGUGGUUUUUAAUUCAUUAUAAUUUAUGCAUCCUUGCAGUCGGGCGCAUACCUGACCUGUCAGCUCAGCCAAGAUGGAGGCUGACAGUUGUCACCAGGGCUUGGAGGUGACUUCCCAUGCUGAUACAUCAGAUGGACUAACGAUCUUUUCCUCUCCCCCUCCUUCGCCCUCCUGCCUCUUCACCUCCAUGCCAACCCUGCCACGCCACGCCACGCCACGCCACUGCAGGGACACCCCGGACGCAGGCCCACCCGGGAGACUUGGUGUGCGUGGAGUGCGGCAAGAGCUUCCACCAGCCCGGCCACCUCAGGGCCCACACACGGGCGCACACAGGGGAGAGACCAUGCCAACCCAGGGACAGUGCCCCUCAGGAAGGGGACCUAGAGGCAUGCCUCCAGUGCCCCGGCGUCCGUGACGGCUUGGGCAGUGUCCUCACGGGUGUCCCGGCAGACUCACCACAGUGACCACGACCACCUCGAGGAAGAAGAGCUGGAGUCUCCUGAUCUGACGCCUCUCACCCCAGAGCCGCCACGCUGGAACAGAGACUGAGGAAGUCCCUGUUCCUCCCCAGCCAUUUAGGGACAGCAAAGAUGCUAUGACUAGAAUUCCAUGAGCUCUGACACGCAUGUCUGUGCUCAUUGACCACAGCCAUGACUCUCCCAACAAGCAGUGGUGCUGGCAGGGAAGGUGGGGACGGAGGCAUCUGUGUCACUCAAGACAAGUUUGAGACACUGGAAAAGAGACUUGUGUGUUUGGGACAGAGUGGAGAAGCUAAGCACUGUAGGGGGCCUGAAAUAGUGACGAAGUCAGGACAGCAGUGGACCUGAGGUUGAUGUCCAUGUCAUAGUGGGUACUGAAAAUAGCAAAUAAAGGAGAGGAAGGAGGUGGCGUUCA
rnacentral:lncRNA from 1 species